AAAAUGGAAAGUUCGGACUCAAGGGUUCAAGGGGUCACACUGGACUCCAUGGCCUUUUUGGUCUACCUGGCGUGCUGGGUUUUAGAGGCCGAGUUGGGAUUGAGGGACCAGAAGGAAAGCCUGGUACACAGGGUGUUCCUGGUUCUGUUGGCUCUCCUGGACCUAAAGGAGACAGAG